GCUUUACUGUAACUUGAAAUUGAAAUUGGACUUUAUUUGCGCAGUAUAGGUGGGAGGCAUUGAUUUUAUUCUUGCGGGAAUUUAGGAGCCAUCAGUGAGAUACCACUCUGGUAAUGUUAGAUUUCUAACUUUGUAUCAUAAUCUGGUCAAAGAACAGUUUCAGGCGGGCAGUUUGACUGGGGCGGUCGCCUCCUAAACGGUAACGGAGGCGUACAAAGGUUUCCUCUGAACGUGUAGAAAUCGUAUCUAGAGUAUAAAGGCAUAAGGAAGCUUGACUGUGAGACCUACAAGUCGAGCAGGGACGAAAGUCGGUCUUAGUGAUCUGACGGUGCUG
rnacentral:rRNA from 1 species